rnacentral:rRNA from 1 species
CAGCAGCCGCGGGAAUACGGAGGGAGCUAGCGUUGUUCUGAAUUACUGGGCGUAAAGCGCGCGUAGGCGGUUACUCAAGUCAGAGGUGAAAGCCCGGGGCUCAACCCCGGAACUGCCUUUGAAACUAGGUGACUAGAAUCUUGGAGAGGUCAGUGGAAUUCCGAGUGUAGAGGUGAAAUUCGUAGAUAUUCGGAAGAACACCAGUGGCGAAGGCGACUGACUGGACAAGUAUUGACGCUGAGGUGCGAAAGCGUGGGGAGCAAACAGGAUUAGAUACCUUAGUAGUCCCUGUCUCUUAUAC